rnacentral:rRNA from 1 species
CCUACGGGGGGCUGCAGUGGGGAAUAUUGGACAAUGGGGGCAACCCAGAUCCAGCCAUGCCGCGUGUGUGAAGAAGGCCCUCGGGUUGUAAAGCACUUUCAGUGAGGAAGAACGCCUGGUGGUUAAUACCCAUCAGGAAAGACAUCACUCACAGAAGAAGCACCGGCUAACUCCGUGCCAGCAGCCGCGGUAAUACGGAGGGUGCGAGCGUUAAUCGGAAUUACUGGGCGUAAAGCGCGCGUAGGUGGCUUGAUAAGCCGGUUGUGAAAGCCCCGGGCUCAACCUGGGAACGGCAUCCGGAACUGUCAAGCUAGAGUGCAGGAGAGGAAGGUAGAAUUCCCGGUGUAGCGGUGAAAUGCGUAGAGAUCGGGAGGAAUACCAGUGGCGAAGGCGGCCUUCUGGACUGACACUGACACUGAGGUGCGAAAGCGUGGGUAGCAAACAGGAUUAGAUACCCCGGUAGUC